rnacentral:rRNA from 1 species
UACAGAGGGGGCAAGCGUUGUCCGGACUGACUGGGCGUAAAGCGCGCGCAGGCGGUCGCGCGCGUCGGUGCUGAAAGGGCGCCGCUUAACGGCGCGAAGGGUGCCGAUACGCCGCGACUGGAGCGAUGGCGAGGGUGGUGGAAUUGCCGGUGUAGUGGUGAAAUGCGUAGAGAUCGGCAGGAACACCCGUGGCGCAAGCGGCCACCUAGCCGUCGGCUGACGCUGAGGCGCGACAGCGUGGGGAGCGAACCGG